rnacentral:rRNA from 1 species
AGCGAACGCUGGCGGUAGGCCUAACACAUGCAAGUCGAACGGCAGCACAGGAGAGCUUGCUCUCUGGGUGGCGAGUGGCGGACGGGUGAGGAAUACAUCGGAAUCUACUCUGUCGUGGGGGAUAACGUAGGGAAACUUACGCUAAUACCGCAUACGACCUACGGGUGAAAGCAGGGGACCUUCGGGCCUUGCGCGAUUGAAUGAGCCGAUGUCGGAUUAGCUAGUUGGCGGGGUAAAGGCCCACCAAGGCGACGAUCCGUAGCUGGUCUGAGAGGAUGAUCAGCCACACUGGAACUGAGACACGGUCCAGACUCCUACGGGAGGCAGCAGUGGGGAAUAUUGGACAAUGGGCGCAAGCCUGAUCCAGCCAUACCGCGUGGGUGAAGAAGGCCUUCGGGUUGUAAAGCCCUUUUGUUGGGAAAGAAAUCCGGCUGGCUAAUACCCGGUUGGGAUGACGGUACCCAAAGAAUAAGCACCGGCUAACUUCGUGCCAGCCGCCGCCGUAA